GCGGGGAUAGCUAAUUUUGGAAAACGUCAGAUUGAAGAUUUGAAGGUCGCGUGUUCGAUCCACGCUCAUCGCA
rnacentral:tRNA from 1 species